rnacentral:rRNA from 1 species
GCUCAGAUUGAACGCUGGCGGCAGGCCUAACACAUGCAAGUCGAACGGUAACAGAAAGCAGCUUGCUGCUUUGCUGACGAGUGGCGGACGGGUGAGUAAUGUCUGGGAAACUGCCCGAUGGAGGGGGAUAACUACUGGAAACGGUAGCUAAUACCGCAUAACGUCGCAAGACCAAAGAGGGGGACCUUAGGGCCUCUUGCCAUCGGAUGUGCCCAGAUGGGAUUAGCUAGUAGGUGGGGUAAAGGCUCACCUAGGCGACGAUCCCUAGCUGGUCUGAGAGGAUGACCAGCCACACUGGAACUGAGACACGGUCCAGACUCCUACGGGAGGCAGCAGUA